rnacentral:rRNA from 1 species
AGUGAACGCUGGCGGUAGGCCUAACACAUGCAAGUCGAACGGCAGCACAGGAGAGCUUGCUCUCUGGGUGGCGAGUGGCGGACGGGUGAGGAAUACAUCGGAAUCUACUCUGUCGUGGGGGAUAACGUAGGGGAACUUACGCUAAUACCGCAUACGACCUACGGGUGAAAGCAGGGGACCUUCGGGCCUUGCGCGAUUGAAUGAGCCGAUGUCGGAUUAGCUAGUUGGCGGGGUAAAGGCCCACCAAGGCGACGAUCCGUAGCUGGUCCGAGAGGAUGAUCAGCCACACUGGAACUGAGACACGGUCCAGACUCCUACGGGAUGCAGCAGUGGGGAAUAUUGGACAAUGGGCGCAAGCCUGAUCCAGCCAUACCGCGUGGGUGAAGAAGGCCUUCGGGUUGUAAAGCCCUUUUGUUGGGAAAGAAAUCCAGCUGGCUAAUACCCGGUUGGGAUGACGGUACCCAAAGAAUAAGCACCGGCUAACUUCGUGCCAGCCGCCGCGGUAA